UUGUUUUAGUAAGGAUGAAAUUGAUGGGUUAUGAGGUUCUGCAUUGUAAAUACAUUGAAAUGUGAUGUUUGUUAUUUGGUUGAAUUGAUGUUAUUCUUGAAGGCGACAUCGGUGAUUUGGAGUUAGUGUCCUUGAGUUUCGCAGUAAACUUCGUUGGAGUUCGAUUCUUUUCUCUUUGGGAUUUAAUUGUUGGAAUUAGUUCAACCAAGGAACUUUGCAUAAAAAUCGAAGCAAUGGACUUUCUACUAGACCCAUAUGUGAAUUUAAAUGAUUAAAACCAUUUUAGUGUUAUAUGUGGAAUUGAGCAACUUAAAGGGAAUGACUGCUAAGAUUAAGUGGAUGUGGUUAAAGGGACUUAAUGGCUUUAGAUAGUUUUAUGUGUGUUGAUGAAAUGACUAAAUUAAAAAUGUUUGUUGUUUGAAUCGAGGAUGGUUGACUGUUAUGUUAAAGAAUGGAUAGUAUACGAUAGUAUACGUUUCAUUGGAAUUACUGAAUUGAGAUAAGUGGCACUUAUGUAUGGUAUACCUAAUUGAGAAAUUGUUACGCUAAGGUCGGAUUAUGUGUUAGUAAGGGUUUUCUCUACUACUGGACUCAAUUACCAUUAUAUAUAUACACAUAUGUACUGAUGUAGACUGAUGUUGAAUGUGUACUGUAAAUGACUGGAUCUAUGCAUAUACAUAAAUCGACGUAAACUUGGUGUUAAAUGCAUAGAUUGUCUGGGAUUAAAUAUGCAGGGAUUAAAUAUACAGGUGUGGUUGUAGACAUGACGAUUUUAGUAGAUGGUGUUGUAUAAAUUUUUGGAUGUGAACUUGUGAUUUUGACUGAUUUGGGUGUGGGUUAUAAUAUAAAGUGUGGCUAGUACAGGUGAACUGAAAGGUGUCAUGACUUUGAAAGGUGUCAUGACUUUGUGGUUUGAUUGACUGAUGUAUUUAAUUGUUACCAACGGUCUUUGGGCUAAAGUGAGAUAAGUUGACUGUUAGAAUGUUAAGUGAGAAAACUAUAUAUGUUGAAGUAAUGGAACAAUGUUAUAAAUGACUGUUAAGAUGUUUAGAAUGGUCUGAGGGGAAAAUUGUUAGUUUUUAUUGGGAUGUGUACCUUGUAGGUGUCCCAUGGGAUCACCAAUUAUUAUGCACCCUUCGGGAGCAUUAGACUGAUAUGUGUUUCUGCAGAACACUAGAUUGAAAUGUACAUCCCUCGGGGCAUUAGACUGAUACGUGUAUCCUACGGGAUCAUAAGACUAUGAAUGUGCAAGGCAAAGGUAACAAAGGUGGCAAACCGGCGAGGGGCAAGAAGGAAGCGUGAUUGCCAUGGGGAACAUGUUAUUUUGCUUCCGCUUUAAGUUUUUGAUGUUUAAAACACUGUGUUGAAACUUAGCUUACGAACUUCUUUUUUUGUAAACAGUACAUUUUUUUAGUUUUGAAUAUUUGAAACCAGGCCUGACUUAAA